AAUGAACGCUGGCGGCAUGCCUAACACAUGCAAGUCGAACGAGACCUUCGGGUCUAGUGGCGCACGGGUGCGUAACGCGUGGGAACCUGCCCUUAGGUUCGGAAUAACUCCCCGAAAGGGGUGCUAAUACCGGAUAAUGUCUUCGGACCAAAGAUUGAUCGCCUUUGGAGGGGCCCGCGUUCGAUUAGCUAGUUGGUAGGGUAAAAGCCUACCACGGCGACGAUCCAUAGCUGGUCUGAGAGGAUGAUCAGCGACACUGGGACUGAGACACGGCCCAGACUCCUAGGGGAGGGAGCAGUGGGGAAUAUUGGAAAACGGGCGAGAGCAUGAUCCAGCUAUGCCUCGUGAGUGAUGAAGGCCGUAGGGAUGAAAAGCUCUUUUACCCGGGAUGAUAAUGACAGUACCGGGAGAAUAAGCUCCGGCUAACUCCGUG
rnacentral:rRNA from 1 species